CAAGAUCGUGAGAUGGAGCAAAUCCCAGAAAUAACGUCCCAGUUCGGAUUGUAGUCUGCAACCCGGCUACAUGAAGCUGGAAUCGCUAGUAAUCGCGGAUCAGAAUGCCGCGGUGAAUACGUUCCCGGGUCUUGUACACACCGCCCGUCACACCAUGGGAGUUGGAAAUGCCCGAAGUCAGUGACCCAACCUAAGGGAGGGAGCUGCCGAAGGCAGGUUCGAUGACUGGGGUGAAGUCGUAACAAGGUACC
rnacentral:rRNA from 1 species